rnacentral:lncRNA from 1 species
GAUUCUCUCUUCUACCAGGCUGCAAGCAUCCUUCUCUAAGUUUCUCUUGGGGUGUUUUCUGGAGCCUUGCUGCUCAUGUGCCCUUUGCUCCAUACAACCCAUCCUCCACGCACACCCUGCGGCCAUCCCCACUCAAUUUCCUUGGAACCCCCUUUCUACUCCUCUUUCAUUCAUUUCUUCUUUUUUUUUUUCGAGACGGAGUGUCUCCCUGUCACCCAGGCUGGAGUGCAGUGGCUUGAUCUUGGCUCACUGCAACCUCCGCCUCCCGGGUUCAAGUGAUUCUGCUUUCUCAGCCUCCAGAGUAGCUGGGAUUACAGACACGUGCUACCAUACCCAGCUCAUUUUUGUAUUUUUAGUAGAGAUAGGUUUCACCAUGUUAGUCAGGCUGGUCUGGAACUCCUGACCUCAGGCGAUCUGCCCACAUCGGCCUCCGAAGUGCUGGGAUUACAGGUGUGAGCCUUCUACCCCUUUUUCACUUGUUACAUCUAAACCGAGCCCAGCCAUCCUCGUCCGGGUGGGAGCUGUCUGCUCCUGGCUGUCCUUUGCUGCCCUCAGGGUUCUCCCCACCCAUUCCCUCUUCAUUCCUUCUCCUCUUUCAGCAUCCACUAGUUCAUCUUUGCUCCCUCCACACUUCUUCCUCUCUUAUGGUCUUUGCCUUUUUCACAGGUUGGUCCCUGCCUGUCCCCUGGGCAGGUGUAUCCAGCCCUGUGAUAUUUCCCCUCUCACUCUGAACCUGCCUCCUCUGCUAUAGCCCACAUAUGGGUUGUUUAUAGAAAUGUCACUUUCCUCCACCCAAAGGUUACCCCAGCCUUCUAUUUUUAUUUUUCUACUGAAAGCACUGUUAUCGGCACUAUGCUUGAAAUAUCAUUCUCAACCACAGUGCUGAAUUCUGAUAGUUUCCCUUUUUGGGGGUUCAUUUGAAAAUAACAAAAAUGAGCCAGGCAUGGUGGCAUGUGCCUGUAGUCCCAGCUCCUGGGGGCUUGGGUUGAGGGGAUGGAGGCAGGAGGAUUGCUUGAGACGGUUCUAAGCCGCAGUGGGUUGUGAUCGCUCCUGGGAGACAGAGCGAGACCCUGUCUCUAAAAAGAAGAAAAAAAUGACAAAAUGAUUUAUUGUAAUUAUAAAAAUAAUAUAUGGUUACAAUAGAAAUUUGGUGACUAAAAUACUAACAGUUUGUUGUCUAAUAUUUCUUUUCUAUUGUUUAGAAGGUAUGAUUUUUAAAAAUUGUAAUCAUAUCUCAUACACAGUUGUCAAUUCUUCCAUUAUCUUUUUUUUAACUAUUAUUUUUUAUAGAGACGGGAUCUCCCUGUAUUGCUCAGGCUGGUCUCGAGCUCCUGGGCUCAAGUGAUCCUCCCACCUCAGCUGCCCAAAGUUCUGGAAUUACAAACAUGGAGCACUGUGCCCUGCCAAUUCUUCCAUUUUCACUCAGUAUAAAGACUCAUUCAUAAGGGAAGGAUGGAAUGAGGUCCUGGGGAUACAAUGCUCACUGCCUUCAUUGAGCUGAUGAUCUAGUGUCAGAAGUAAUUGGGCAGUUAUGAUAUUAUACGGAAAUUACAAAGUGCUAUAGCCCCAGAUCUAGUCUUGGGGUUGGGGGAGGUGAUCAGGGAAGGGUUCCCCUAGCCAAGCGAGGUCGGAGCUAAGAUCGGAAGAAUUAGCAGGAGUUUCCUAGGCAACAGGGAGGGACAGCUCUAGGCAGAGGGAACGGCACAUGUGCAUUGUAGAUGGGAGGAGGGCAAGGGAAAUUUUGAAGGUCGAAUCUAAAGAGGUGAUGUAAGCUAGUUUGUUGAGUUUGUACGUAUCAUAAGAGCAAGGGAAACUUCUUUUGAGGCAUUGUGAUUUGCCAAUCAGACAACAGCUCUAGCUACAGUAAUAGAGCAUGAAUCAACUCUUUUUUUUUGUCUCCUAAAAUCCUUAAGUUGGUGUACCCAGAAUUUACUUAAUCAUUUCCCUGAUGUUGCUAAUAUUUCACAGUUAUAGAUAAUGUACUAAUCAUAGUUCUCUGUGGCUCUCCUCUGUAUAAACUAAAAUCAUUUUGGGAUGCUAAUCGGGUAGCAUUUUUUUUUUGUUUUCUGGAGGCACGAUCUCAACCUGUUGCCCGGGCUGGAGUGCAGUGGCAUGAUCAUGGUUCAGUGCAGCCUCAACCUCCUGGGCUCAAGCAAUCCUCCCGCUCAGCCUCCCAAGUAGCUGGGACUACAAGCAUGUGCCACCACACCUAGCUAAUUUUUUUUUUUUGUAGAGACGGGGUCCCACUGUGUUGCCCAGGCUGAUCUGAAACCCGUGGGUUCAAGUAGUCCUCCCGGCUUGGCCUCCCGAAAUACUGGGAUUAUAGGCAUGAGCCACUGUGCCCAGCCUGAAUGCCUCUUCUAUGUAAUGAACCAUAUCUUGUCUUUGCUCCAAUUCUAAUUCCUGUUUCUUGCCUCCAAUCUAGUCCCAAACUGAUCUAUUUCGCUGGGCUUCUUAGGAAUUGCAUGGAAAUACCAGGCCCCAGCUGGACAUGACUGACAUUUAUCUACUCACAUCCACCACCAAACUUCCACUGGAGCACAUGGAAUGGCGUGAGAAACACCUAGACAGUGCAUUUCACACCAGGAAGAGAAGCUCUGGGGACUGGAUGGCAUGUGUUUCUGCAAGGAGUCGGGAGCCUUGGUGGGAGACACUAUGGUGAGAAACGGAGAGUGCACACACUUACUGAAAACGUACUGAGAACUCACACCAAGCGUUUUCAAACCCUUCCUCUUUCUCUCAGCCCUUUUUUUAGUUAUCCCAGCUCAGCUGUUAAUUACCAUCAGUGAGUGUAGAAGAGGAAGGAAGCAAAUACCACCCUUCUUAAGCAGCUGGGCUAUUUUAGGGCAGACGUGAUGGAUCCUCAAUUAGAAAUUUGUACUAAACAUUCAAUUCACCCUCACACCAGUAUCAUACAUCACAAAUUGCAUUUCUCCAGUUUGGUUGUCAAGGAGCCAAAACGUGUG